AACGUUAGCCUACCGUUAGCUAGCAGCUGGAUUAAACACGUUAAAAUGCUGACAGCUAAACGGUGUAAAGGGUGUCUGUAUUUCACUGUGUAGGAUUCCAACAUCGGGACGUUAAGCAGUGUGCAGCUGCCGUAG